rnacentral:rRNA from 1 species
AGGUGAACCUGCGGAAGGAUCAUUAUUAAAAAA